AAUUUCCUUAAAUGUUUUAAUUUUCCUUUCCUUUAAAAUCUCUCUCGUGCCCUAACCUUGAUCGCCGAACUCCCUCUCCUCCUCACGCGAUCCCCUCACCUCGCUACACCACAACCGACGAUUUUCCCUCUCGAGCCACAGCUGCCUGCUCUAAUCCUUUCCCCGCCGCCGACUUCUCCUGAUUACCCUUGUGAGUUCCUGUGCACAGCCGGGACUUCUUCUUCCUCGAGCUAUAGCCGCCGCUUUUCCUUGCACCAGCAUCACGGCACCAGCCGAUCUCCCUCUCGCGGUCACCACAGCUUGCGAUCUCACCCUCAGCCGAAGUCGCGGCCGCCGAUUCUCUCCAAGUCGUGCCCUAACCAAACCAGCAAGUAGAUUCCCUUCGGCAGUUCUGGUGAAUUGAUGAUUGGGCUCUUGUUCGGAGGAUUGUGAUGCAGUUUUGUGUUGCUGGUUUUUCUGUGUUUACAGAUUUCGGACAGAAUUUGUUAGGACGUUGAUUGAAGACGGUUGAUACAAUCUACGUAUAAAGG